rnacentral:rRNA from 1 species
UAAACGAUGUCGACUUGGAGGUUGUGGCUUCCGGAGCUAACGCGUUAAGUCGACCGCCUGGGGAGUACGGCCGCAAGGUUAAAACUCAAAUGAAUUGACGGGGGCCCGCACAAGCGGUGGAGCAUGUGGUUUAAUUCGAUGCAACGCGAAGAACCUUACCUGGUCUUGACAUCCAGGUGCUGCAUGGCUGUCGUCAGCUCGUGUUGUGAAAUGUUGGGUUAAGUCCCGCAACGAGCGCAACCCUUAUCCUUUGUUGCAACUCAAAGGAGACUGCCAGUGAUAAACUGGAGGAAGGUGGGGAUGACGUCAAGUCAUCAUGGCCCUUACGACCAGGGCUACACACGUGCUACAAUGGCGCAUACAAAGAGAAGCGACCUCGCGAGAGCAAGCGGACCUCAUAAAGUGCGUCGUAGUCCGGAUUGGAGUCUGCAACUCGACUCCAUGAAGUCGGAAUCGCUAGUAAUCGUGGAUCAGAUGCCACGGUGAAUACGUUCCCGGGCCUUGUACACACCGCCCGUCACACCAUGGGAGUGGGUUGCAAAAGAAGUAGGUUACCACUUUGUGAUUCAUGACUGGGGUGAUGUCGUAACAAGGUAACCGA